CAAACGUCACCAUUCACAUGCAGAGGGAUUCCCCAUGCUCUCGGUUUCUUUCUCCCCCUGUUUCUCUCUCCCCGGUUUCUCUCCCCCGGUUUCUCUCUCCCGGGUUUCUCUCGUCUCCCUCCUCUGUUUCCCUUUUGGAGGUGUAACUUCUUUCCAUUUUUCUCACCAAGAGCCUGAUGGGGGGUCUUUCCCUUGGUUCAUCCCAACCACGGCUUUGAUCUGCGGCGUCCCCAGUUCAUUAACGCAUCGUUUAUUUAUUUUUAUAUCAUUCCAGGAAACAUACCUAUUCCAUCCUAGGAACUUUGAAAUUGGUGGAAUAUUGCAACGAAAAUAACCAAAACUCCCAGCACCAUUCGUAAACAAAAAGCUUGAUAGGCUGUAUAAAAUGCUACAAUGUUGGUAAAUGAUUAAUGACGCUUUUUAUCCCUCUCAUAGUAAUGGAAAUGUGCCGUUGUCAUCUGCUGUGCUGCGUACAUCUCUGUACUUAUGUUAUUCGAUUCUGUGUGGAAUAAAUAACAACAAAUGCCAGAAAACACUUUAGGGGAUGGGUGUUCGUGGUUUUUGUAAUGCUAUUUUUCCCCCAUACUACUUCAUCACGUGGGGGAGGAGAGCCACACGAUUUGAAGUGGCUUUCUGUGUUCAAGGCGCUAGGUCAUUUGCAUAAUUGUUCUUGUCUAUGGUGACGCUAUGUUUUGGGGGAGUUCACUGGUCUGGUGAUGUCUGCAUGGUACUUGUGCACGUACUUGUACACAUAGUCCAGCAUAGCCUAGGUUUAAUAUUGGUAUGAGGGCACUGCUCUAGCAUGUGAUGAGUUCAACCGCGAAGGCAGAGAGCGCUUAUCUGGGCGACCCAAGUCCUCGCGCCUGCUUUCGUAAUCUCGGUUAACCCAUCGACGUCGAACAGAAAAAAAGGGAGUUCGUUUCUUCUACACACAGAGCCACUCGCCUCUUCCCUUUUUUGUUGUGGCCGAUGAGUCCUGUAUGAGCUAGGUGCAGGCUGGUCCUGCUGAUUCUACCCCAGCUAAACUUUUUCUCUGGACUACUGUUCUGAUCGAUUUUGUCGUUGAAUGAGAAAUAUUGCGUUGUGCUCUGCAUUCGUCGUCAGAGGAAAAGCUACUGACCCCCAUACAUCACCGGGACGGGCGCCCGCGUCGACAGCAGCGACAGGAGCCAUUAUUAUAGGCCUGUGAGGUAAAGUUCACGUCGUGGUCAUGGAGAUGCGCGGAUGCCCGCCCGGUUUUUCAGGUUUCCUCCUGGCCCUGUCAUCCAUCUUGGUUCUACAAAAAUAUGCAGCAAAAACUGGGGAAUGUGGUUGUUUAUGCUUUUAGCCCAGACAGAGAUUUCUGCCAGGUGGUUGGACUGGGGUAGACUAUAGCACACCGCGUUGAGGGCUGGCCCGCCUAUUCCGUCCAACGAUUAGGCCUACGGGAGAUUUGAGGUGUAUUUUUUUAGGUGCAUUUUAGCUAACAAAUAACAAUAUUACAUGUAAUAUAAUAAACCCUGAGGACAACCUAAUUAUAACAGCCUUCAGACCUAGUACACAACGUAGGCUAAUCGUUUUGUGUUCUAUAACUAACCUGUUAAACUGUCUUUUCUCAUUUAAUUUUGGCAUCAUUAUUAAUAUGGCACAAUUGAGUAUAUGCUUUUGUAAAAGUAUUUAUUUUGAUACAGUUGGUGUGCCGUAAGUGCAGGUGGUGAUAUGAGGUUUGUGCAUGCUUUUGUGCCCUGUAUUGUUAACAGAAGGUAAACGAUAAUAGCCAGAGAACUGUUGUCCCUAUCUUGCCUCCAUAGUAUCUGGUGUCAGCCCUGUAUUGAAAAGUAAGAUGGAUCGCCACCAUUUCUUCUCCUCACGGUGCUUCUUGUAACCCUAG
rnacentral:lncRNA from 1 species